AUGAUACAGUACUUGAAGAAUCACAAGAUGUUGCUGCACUCUCAUGAAUCUCCUGUUGGCUCUGCUCAGAGACAAUUCUUUCUAAUUUUACUUCUGAUCUGUUUGAAUUUCAGUUUUAUCAAAGCUUGCACUGAUGGAUCAGUUCGUCUUGUUGGAGGAUCUAAUGAUAUGGAAGGACGUGUCGAAGUAUGCAGAUAUAAUUACUACUUUUCUGGUGGUAUCUAUGGUACUGUUUGCGACAAUUCAUGGGAUACUCUUGAUGCUAUAGUGGUAUGUAGGCAGUUAGGAUAUACAUCAGGUACUUAUAUUUGUAUCAUAAAUAUUAUAAUAAUAAUAAAAUGAAUUUGAAAUAGGAUCAGAAAUCAGUAGUAAUGAGUUUAUAAGUGAAAUUAGUAAUGAUAAUAAUAAUAAUAAUAAUCUUUAUUAAUAUGUUAGUGACAUUGAAGUCGAGCAUCAGAGAUUGCUACAUCAAUGUCACAGUCACUGGGCCUAUAUAUUGAUCUCCUUGUACCCCUUACACACCGAAUUGUUGAUCUUAAAAUUGAAAAUGAUAAUUUGCAUCUGAUGAAAUUGAUUACUGAACUGUACGGUUUGUUAAGUUUGUCAGCUGUCAGUAAUGCAAUUCGUCUAAAAACUACAUCACAUACAGGAGCCAGCCCGCCAUUGGUGGAAAAAACAA